rnacentral:rRNA from 1 species
GACGAACGCUGGCGGCGUGCCUAAUACAUGCAAGUCGAACGCUUCUUUCCUCCCGAGUGCUUGCACUCAAUUGGAAACAGGAGUGGCGGACGGGUGAGUAACACGUGGGUAACCUACCCAUCAGAGGGGGAUAACACUUGGAAACAGGUGCUAAUACCGCAUAACAGUUUAUGCCGCAUGGCAUAAGAGUGAAAGGCGCUUUCGGGUGUCGCUGAUGGAUGGACCCGCGGUGCAUUAGCUAGUUGGUGAGGUAACGGCUCACCAAGGCCACGAUGCAUAGCCGACCUGAGAGGGUGAUCGGCCACACUGGGACUGAGACACGGCCCAGACUCCUACGGGAGGCAGCAGUAGGGAAUCUUCGGCAAUGGACGAAAGUCUGACCGAGCAACGCCGCGUGAGUGAAGAAGGUUUUCGGAUCGUAAAACUCUGUUGUUAGAGAAGAACAAGGACGUUAGUAACUGAACGUCCCCUGACGGUAUCUAACCAGAAAGCCACGGCUAACUACGUG